rnacentral:rRNA from 1 species
AUGAACGCUGGCGGCGUGCCUAAUACAUGCCAGUCGAGCGAACAGACGAGGAGCUUGCUCCUCUGACGUUAGCGGCGGCCGGGUGAGUAACACGUGGAUAACCUACCUAUAAGACUGGGAUAACUUCGGGAAACCGGAGCUAAUACCGGAUAAUAUAUUGAACCGCAUGGUUCAAUAGUGAAAGACGGUUUUGCUGUCACUUAUAGAUGGAUCCGCGCCGCAUUAGCUAGUUGGUAAGGUAACGGCUUACCAAGGCGACGAUGCGUAGCCGACCUGAGAGGGUGAUCGGCCACACUGGAACUGAGACACGGUCCAGACUCCUACGGGAGGCAGCAGUAGGGAAUCUUCCGCAAUGGGCGAAAGCCUGACGGAGCAACGCCGCGUGAGUGAUGAAGGUCUUCGGAUCGUAAAACUCUGUUAUUAGGGAAGAACAAAUGUGUAAGUAACUAUGCACGUCUUGACGGUACCUAAUCAGAAAGCCACGGCUAACUACGUG